CCUACGGGAGGCAGCAGUGGGGAAUCUUGCACAAUGGAGGAAACUCUGAUGCAGCGAUGCCGCGUGAGUGAAGAAGGCCUUUGGGUUGUAAAGCUCUUUUGUAGGGGAAGAUAAUGACUGUACCCUAAGAAUAAGGUCCGGCUAACUUCGUGCCAGCAGCCGCGGUAAUACGAAGGGACCUAGCGUAGUUCGGAAUUACUGGGCGUAAAGCGCGCGUAGGCCGUUGAGUUAGUUAAUUGUGAAAUCCCAAAGCUUAACUUUGGAACUGCAAUUAAAACUGCUCGACUAGAGUUUGAUAGAGGAAAGCGGAAUACAUAGUGUAGAGGUGAAAUUCGUAGAUAUUAUGUAGAACACCAGUUGCGAAGGCGGCUUUCUGGAUCAACACUGACGCUGAGGCGCGAAAAGUAUGGGUAGCAAAAGAGGAUUAGAUACCCUCGUAGUCCAUACCAUAAACGAUGAUUGCUAGAUGUUGGAAAUUUAUUUUCAGUAUCGCAGCUAACGCAUUAANANANACNCNGGAGACGACGACAAGUAAACUAACAAAGAAAUAGAGCGNGAGAGNGCGAGAGACACAGGAGAG
rnacentral:rRNA from 1 species